rnacentral:rRNA from 1 species
GACGAACGCUGGCGGUGUGCUUAACAUAUGCAAGUCGAACGGAAAGGCCCUGCUUUUGUGGGGUGCUCGAGUGGCGAACGGGUGAGUAACACGUGAGUAACCUGCCCUUGACUUUGGGAUAACUUCAGGAAACUGGGGCUAAUACCGGAUAGGAGCUCCUGCUGCAUGGUGGGGGUUGGAAAGUUUCGGCGGUUGGGGAUGGACUCGCGGCUUAUCAGCUUGUUGGUGGGGUAGUGGCUUACCAAGGCUUUGACGGGUAGCCGGCCUGAGAGGGUGACCGGCCACAUUGGGACCGAGAUACGGCCCAGACUCCUACGGGAGGCAGCAGUGGGGAAUAUUGCACAAUGGGCGGAAGCCUGAUGCAGCAACGCCGCGUGCGGGAUGACGGCCUUCGGGUUGUAAACCGCUUUCGCCUGUGACGAAGCGUGAGUGACGGUAAUGGGUAAAGAAGCACCGGCUAACUACGUG